rnacentral:rRNA from 1 species
GUCAAUGGCCAUACUACCCUGAACGCACCCAAUCCUGUCUGAUCUUGGAAGCUAACAGGGUCAGGCCUGGUUAGUACUUGGAUGGGAGAUAGAUUAAUAUUAGUGGCAAAAGGAAGCACUUUUAUCU